CUCCAACAUCUGGCCAAGAUAUGCAAUCAAACAUUUCACUUAUUUGCUAAGUACACGCAUACAUACGUACAUUACAAGUCGUACCAUUGCAGUCCUGAUUAGUACGUACCAAUAGUUAAGGACUUAAGGUAUUAAAUGGCUUGCAGCAGGGCGUGUGUGACCUGGUCUGGGUCAGCAAGCCUUCAAAGUUCAGUCUUGGAUCACCCCAUCCAUCUGAAAGCCAAGGACCAUGACCAACAUGCAGCAAGGUACAGAGAGUACAUUCCAAGUCUCCAUCUAGCUAGCUGUGCAAGAACUAACCAUGAAUUUCUUGCCACUGAUCAAUUGCCCCGUGUUCACUGCGAGAGAUAACAACAACACACAGCUGCAUCAUGCGUGCCUGGUCGAACUUACAUCGAUUAUGUUAUGUAACAAACCUCGGCCCGGAUUGGGUGCCCACACGCAACUAAACAAACAAGAAGAUGACAAGCGGCGCCAAAUUUAAAACAGAAUGCUUCGGUUCCAAUGUACCCUAACCUAUGCUGACAGCAAAGUUAUAUAGUUAAUUACCAAACAGGGAAGCAUCACUCACCGGAUAUUCUUCCGAUCCCGAUUCCAUUCCGUCCACCAUCUCAAGAACACAUUAUGUAAUCAGUUCAGGAGCAUUGUUGCUUGCUAGUCAGGCCCAAGGUCAUUGCAUUGCAUUGCAUUUCUGGUUAGCAGCAGUUAAGGUUACAGCUGAGCUGACCGACCGGAAACGUUGACCCCAUCUCGCCCAGCAGAGUCUUGAGAUCACUGGCUGGGAUCAUUAUUCCAAAGAUGAGAAGCCGGUACGUUGACCGUUGACCGGGCACAAAGAUACCGCUGGCAUAUUCCAGCUGGCCAGCUGUGCAAGAGCAAGCCUGCCAUGCAUUCCCUGCCAUUGAUUGCUCUCUGUUGACUGAAGGAGGUACCAGAGCUACUGAAAGAGAUGGCCCGUGGGUAGCAGACCAGGAAGCUUCUCAGAAGCAGCUGUCGCCGAUCUCCGGCCUCACGUUGAAGGGGCGAUAUCUUCUCCGCCGGAAAUUCUGAAUGACAUCUACGAUGGACGUGGACUGAAUUCCCCGGUUGGAGAACGACCUCGAAGCUCUGGGGCCAACUUCUUGUUUGUUUCUGAAUCGCAUUCACAGAAAAAUUGACCCCCGGGCUGAGAGAGCAAGAGAAAGCGGCCAUUUGUUUGCUCCUCCUUGCUCCUAUCCGCCUUGUCGCCUUGGCUGCCAACACCAGCAACAAAACUCUAAGGCCAAGGGUAUGCACCUUUUCACUUUUGUUUCCUCUUCUCUUGGGAGAUUGCUUGCCGCUUUCUCUCGUGGUAGCUAGAUAGCAUAUGCACUUUUUUCACUCCUCUUCGCUGCACUCUGAGAGGUUGCUAGCUAGCUGGUUCUUCUCUGGUGGUGGCUAACUGUUGGUGGUUCCACAUGGCCGUGGUCAGCAGAGCCCGUGCUUCCCUCCCUUCGCCGUCAUCGUCGCCAUUGACAGCCUUCUCCCCUCGGUCGCCGCAGCCCGAGGUGGCGGAGAGGAUGUUCACACGUGGAGGGAGCGGCCGGUCGUCGUCGUCCAGUGCCAGCGGGGCCAACAGGAGCGCCAGCCUCAGAGAGAUCGACGAAGAGGCCGCCAUCUUGCACGAUGCUUAUGAUGAUGACGGCGUAGGGAAGCUGUAUGUCGCCGUCGGGAAGGACGUCAAGGACGGCAGGUCCAACCUCGUCUGGGCAGCUCGGAACCUCCUCGCCGGUGAUCCCAAGCUUGUCCUGCUGCACGUCCACCAGCCUGCCGACAGAAUCAUGAUAGGAUUAUGCAAGGUUCCAGCAAGCCAGGUCGAAGAAAAGGAGCUCAAAGCAUACAGAAAGAUUGAGAAGGAGGAGAUGAACACACUUUUAAACCAGUACCUCAAUUUCUGCAGAGUUUCUCUCAAGAUGCAAGCUGAAACGCUGGUGAUCGAGAAGAACAGUCCUGCAAAUGGGAUUAUCGAGCUCAUUGAUCAAAAUCGCAUUACAAAGCUUGUUAUGGGAACAUCUUCCUUCUCAGUGAAGAGGAAAGUACCAAAAUCAAAAGUUGCAGCCAGUGUGCAUCUGCAGGCCAAACCAUAUUGCCAGAUCUUCUAUAUUUGCAAAGAGGCUCUUGGUUGCUCUAGGGAGGCCACUGAGCUUUGUGCAAAAGUAGAGUCACCCCGAAGUAGCUUCGCAAGCACUAUCUCAGAUCAACCUGAGUUAACUCCAAGAUCCCUAUCACUGCCACCAGGGCAUCCAGGUCUCUUAGCCUCUACAGGCCAACAACCCCUUCCACGACGGUCCAACUCAGUCAGUUAUCCCUUGUCCGGAUUGAUAGCAGACAGUGUAGAAAACAUGUCAGCUGCAAGGCGGCAGUCAAUUGAUAGUCUGUUAGGCUCUACAGAUCAACAGCCCCUGCCACGGCGGUCCAACUCAGUUAGUUAUUCCUUGUCUGGAUCGAUAGCGGGCAGUGUAGAAAUCAUGUCACCUGCAAGGCGGCAGUCGAUUGAUAUGACACCAACAGAUUCCUCUCCGAGUUCCAGCCAGCAAAGUACUGGUGGGUCCUCAUUGGGUCUGAGGGAUUUGGACAGCAUGGAUGGUUCACCAGUGCCUGUUUCAGUUGCAAGCUCUGAAGAACAUCAGCACUCUACAGUGGAAAUACGUGAAAUGUUUGAGCAACUGCACCGAGUCCGCAAUCAGCUAGAGCGCUCGAAAAAGGAAGCAUCUGAGGGCCGGCAGAAAGCCGAGAAGAACCUGUUUGAAUCUUCUAUGAUGUUCAAAGCACGGGAGAGUUCACUCCGCAACGAAAAAAAGGAGGUAGAGGAAAGGCUAACAAGAGAAAAGGCUGACCUUGAAAAAGAGCACAUCCAUGUAUGCAACGAGCUGCAGAAGGCAAAUGAGCAAAGAGCAGAAUUGGAGAGCAAGCUUCUUCAGACAAACACCCUAAUGGAAGAGCUCCAACAGUUGCAAGCAGAGCUGCAGCGCGAGAAGGACCAUGCUGUUAAAGAAGCUGAAGAAAUGCGCCAAACAAAUGGUAAUAGUGUAUUUGGCUCAACUAGUGCUGUUGCCCUAACAGAAUUCAGCUACAGAGAUAGAAGAGGCAACGGACAACUUUAAUGACUCCAAAAAGAUUGGCAGUGGUGGGUGUGGAACCGUCUACAAGGGAUUUCUCCGUCAUACUACCGUAGCCAUAAAGAAAUUCAACCGUGAAGGCACAACAGGAGAUAAAGAGUUCAAUGACGAGGUAGAAACACUUUCUAGGAUGAGGCAUCCAAACCUUGUCACUCUGAUAGGAGUGUGCAGGGAGGCCAAAGCGUUGGUCUUCGAAUUCCUGUCGAAUGGAAGCCUAGAGGACUGUCUGCAGUGCGAGAACCAAAGAGAGCCGCUCUCAUGGCGAAUGCGCAUCAGAAUAGCUGCCGACAUCUGCACGGGACUUAUCUUCCUCCACUCUAACAAACCAAAAGGCAUUGCCCAUGGCGAUCUGAAGCCUGACAAUGUCCUUCUUGACAAUAGCUUUGUUUGUAAACUGGCAGACUUUGGAAUCUCUCGUCCCUUGGAUCUGACAAACACCACUGUCACCCCUUACCACCGAACAAACCAAAUCAAAGGCACAAUGGGAUACAUGGAUCCAGGAUACAUUGCCUCAGGGGAGAUCACAGCUCAGUAUGACGUCUACUCCUUUGGUGUGGUUCUGAUGCGGUUGCUGACUGGCAAGAGCCCCCUAGGCCUUCCAAAUGAGGUGGAGGCAGCCUUGAGCAAUGACAUGUUGCAAGAUAUAAUUGACACUUCUGCAGGGGAAUGGCCACCUGAGUACACUGAAGAGUUGGCAAGAUUAGCACUCAGAUGUUGCCGGUAUGAACGAAAGGAGCGGCCUAAUCUUGCAAAUGAGGCCUGGGGUAUCCUGCAAGCAAUGAUGAACUGCCCAGACGAUAAAUGCAAGCCACCAACAUUUUUCAUCUGUCCAAUGACACAGGAGAUCAUGAGGGAUCCACACAUUGCUGCUGAUGGAUUCACAUAUGAAGGUGAGGCUAUCAAGGACUGGCUUCAAAGGGGGCAUAAAAUGUCCCCCAUGACCUACCUCGGCUUCACACACCAUGAGUUAAUACCAAACACUGCCCUUCGUUUUGCAAUUCAAGAAUGGCAAAUGCAACAGCAACCGUGAUUUUUAACAUUCCAUUUAAUCUGUACAGUCAUGUUAGGGAGUCAAGCAAAUGGUUUGCAAGUGUGUAUAGUCUGUGUAGAAAAUUUCAUUUCCCCCACUUUAGCAGUCAGCGCUUUCUCAAUGUUUUGGGCCCACAACCAAGAAGUGAUGUACUUACAUGUUUCCGGUAACAUGUGUUUGGGAUGAACUGACAUGGCAUGUAACUCUCCAAGAGAGUGGGUAUUCAGG
rnacentral:rRNA from 1 species